rnacentral:rRNA from 1 species
GGACAAAGGAUGAGCCCGCGUAGGAUUAGGUAGUUGGUGGGGUAAAGGCCUACCAAGCCGACGAUCCUUAGCUGGUCUGAGAGGAUGAUCAGCCACACUGGGACUGAGACACGGCCCAGACUCCUACGGGAGGCAGCAGUGGGGAAUAUUGGACAAUGGGCGCAAGCCUGAUCCAGCAAUGCCGCGUGAGUGAUGAAGGCCUUCGGGUCGUAAAGCUCUUUUACCAGGGAUGAUAAUGACAGUACCUGGAGAACAAGCUCCGGCUAACUCCGUG